AUACAGAGGGUGCAAGCGUUAAUCGGAUUUACUGGGCGUAAAGCGCGCGUAGGUGGCUAAUUAAGUCAAAUGUGAAAUCCCCGAGCUUAACUUGGGAAUUGCAUUCGAUACUGGUUAGCUAGAGUAUGGGAGAGGAUGGUAGAAUUCCGGGUGUAGCGGUGAAAUGCGUAGAGAUCUGGAGGAAUACCGAUGGCGAAGGCAGCCAUCUGGCCUAAUACUGACACUGAGGUGCGAAAGCAUGGGGAGCAAACAGGAUGAGAUACCCUGGUAGUCCGUGCCGUAAACGAUGUCUACUAGCCGUUGGGGCCCUUGAGGCUUUAGUGGCGCAGCUAACGCGAUAAGUAGACCGCCUGGGGAGUACGGUCGCAAGACUAAAACUCAAAUGAAUUGACGGGG
rnacentral:rRNA from 1 species